rnacentral:lncRNA from 1 species
CGAGAAUUCGUUUUAACCUCGUCACUGACUGGACUAGACUGUAAACUCCUUGGCGUCUGGGAUGGCUCAGCCGUGCCCAGCACCAAGUGCAGGCACUCAAACCCCUGUGGAGUGCCUCAGACUACUUCACCAUAGUCAUAAAUCCUGUCACAUCCCAGUGAUGCAGUUCAUGAGUCUCUUAAUCUAGCCUGAACUCUACUUUUGCAUUCAGACAGGCAGGGGAUGCCUCAUCCUUUGAAUACUGGCACAUUAAGAGCAGUGACAUAGGUAAGAACUGAACCCAAGCACUAUAAGAGAGGAUGUUAAGCAAGAUCUAAAAAUCAACGUGAUCAACAAGAGCAGUAAUCUUUUCUUUUCCAAGAAAAAAGAAUGGAAGAAACAGAAGGUACUGGGCGCAAUGUAUUAAACACUGUGUUUUGAAUGACUCGAGAUUCUACGACUGCCUGGAGGGGUUUUGCUGGAUCGGUGCAAUGUCAUGUGAUUAUUGGAAAUUAAUCCCUUUUUUCAAGAAUUUUUCAAGAAUUAGGUUAAGUUAGAUUUGAGCAAACUUAAUUACCUUGCCAGGCAUUUGUUUUUCAGAAACAUAAUAAUCUAUGUAUUUGAUUCAAUUAGUAGUAGGCCCAUGGGUUGUUCUGUAA